ensembl:lncRNA
AUGGCAACCAACCGAGGACCAAACCUGCAUAAGGGGCAGCCAUGACAGGAAGGUUGAUGCUUGGCAUUGUUGCGUCACAAUACAAAAUGCCUCUGAUGACGUAAUGAUCAAACACCAAGCUGCCACUGGUGAAAUGACGGAUCAUUAGCUGAUUGAACUACAAGGUGAACGAAUUUAAUGGUGCCGAAAGCCACUUCCUAUUCCAAGUAUUCAAGACUAGAAGGAGCAUUCUGAUUAGAAUACUGCAGACCAGUGAAUGAUGAAUAGGAGGCCCAACCUGAAUGGGUCUGGAGGACCAAGGUCCAUCGGUGUUCCGCUACUCUGUCCUUCUAACAGAGUGCUGCUGGAGAGAGAAGAGGUCAGCCAGGCCCCAGUGAUGGCCUCCUCUUUCAGGCCCUCAGCGUUCCCCUCCCUGCAUGUUGUACCUCAUGCUCCCCCUCCUGACGACGUCAGGCCCAAGAGGCCCACAGCUGCCCACAGAAAGAGGAGAGACCUCCAGUCCCUGGUUCCUGUCCAGGAUGGAUGUCGUGAGUCUCCCGGUUGGUUUAACAGCAGCAGCUCCCAGCUACCUGCCAAAACCAACAGACGCAGGCGCAACAAGGAGCUUUCCUUCACUGAGGUUCUGAAGAACUACAAGCUUCUGCCUGAUUCCCGGCCCAGCAGCCCAGAGAGCCUGUACCAGCCUGAGUCAAUGAUACCUAGAAUCUCUGUCAGCAUCACUAGACCUGAGGGGAGGCCUAGCAACCCUCAACGCCCCACUAGACGGCCUGUUAGCCCCGUAGGCCUGGUCCAACCUGAUGUACAGCCUUCCAGACCUGAGGGGAGGCCUAGCAACCCUCGGCAACCCAGACGGCCUGUUAGACCAGUGGGCCUGGUCCAGCCUGAUGUACAGCCUUCCAGACCUGAGGGGAGGCCUAGCAACCCUCUGGGCCCCACUAGACGGCCUGUUAGACCAGUGGGCCUAGUCCAACCUGAUGUACAGCCAUCCAGACCUGAGGGGAGGCCUAGCAACCCUCUGGGCCCCACUAGACAUGGCCUGUUAGACCAGUCAGCCUGGUCCAGCCUGAUGUUCAGCCUUCCAGACCUGAGGGAAGGCCUAGCAACCCUCGGAGCACCACUAGGAGAAAAGUUAAG